rnacentral:rRNA from 1 species
GAUGAACGCUGGCGGCGUGCCUAAUACAUGCAAGUCGAGCGAACAGACGAGGAGCUUGCUCCUCUGACGUUAGCGGCGGACGGGUGAGUAACACGUGGAUAACCUACCUAUAAGACUGGGAUAACUUCGGGAAACCGGAGCUAAUACCGGAUAAUAUAUUGAACCGCAUGGUUCAAUAGUGAAAGACGGUUUUGCUGUCACUUAUAGAUGGAUCCGCGCCGCAUUAGCUAGUUGGUAAGGUAACGGCUUACCAAGGCAACGAUGCGUAGCCGACCUGAGAGGGUGAUCGGCCACACUGGAACUGGGACACGGUCCAGACUCCUACGGGAGGCAGCAGUAGGGAAUCUUCCGCAAUGGGCGAAAGCCUGACGGAGCAACGCCGCGUGAGUGAUGAAGGUCUUCGGAUCGUAAAACUCUGUUAUUAGGGAAGAACAAAUGUGUAAGUAACUAUGCACGUCUUGACGGUACCUAAUCAGAAAGCCACGGCUAACUACGU